CCAAUAGCGUAUAUUAAAGUUGUUGCAGUUAAAAAGCUCGUAGUUGAAUUUCGGGAUCAGUAUGUCGGUCGUGCCUUCGGUAUGUACUGGUUUCCCUGAUUCCUCCCUUCUGACGCACCAUCAUGCCAUUAUUUUGGUGUGGUGGGAAAUCAGGACUGUUACUUUGCAAAAUUUAGAGUGUUUAAAGCAGGCUCGCGCUUGAAUACAUUAGCAUGGAAUAACGAAAUAGGACGUUAAUCCUAUUUUGUUGGUUUCUAGGAUCGACGUAAUGAUUAAUAGGGAUAGUUGGGGGCAUUAGUAUUCAAUUGUCAGAGGUGAAAUUCUUGGAUUUAUUGAAGACUAACUACUGCGAAAGCAUUUGCCAAGGAUGUUCUCAUUAAUCAAGAACGAAAGUUAGGGGAUCGAAGACGAUCAGAUACCGUCGUAGUCUUAACCAUAAACUAUGCCGACUAGGGAUCGGAUGAUGUUAAUUUUUUAAUGACUCAUUCGGCGCCUUACG
rnacentral:rRNA from 1 species